rnacentral:rRNA from 1 species
UACGGGGGGGGCAAGCGUUGUUCGGAAUUACUGGGCGUAAAGGGUUCGUAGGUGGCCUACUAAGUCAUACGUGAAAUCCCUCAGCUUAACUGGGGAACUGCGUCUGAUACUGGCGAGCUUGAGUGCAGGAGAGGAACGCGGAAUUCCAGGUGUAGCGGUGAAAUGCGUAGAUAUCUGGAGGAACACCGGUGGCGAAGGCGGCGUUCUGGACUGCAACUGACACUGAGAAACGAAAGCCAGGGUAGCAAACGGG